GACGAACGCUGGCGGCGUACUUAACACAUGCCAGUCGAACGGAAAGGCCCUGCUUUUGUGGGGUGCUCGAGUGGCGAACGGGUGAGUAACACGUGAGUAACCUGCCCUUGACUUUGGGAUAACUUCAGGAAACUGGGGCUAAUACCGGAUAGGAGCUCCUGCUGCAUGGUGGGGGUUGGAAAGUUUCGGCGGUUGGGGAUGGACUCGCGGCUUAUCAGCUUGUUGGUGAGGUAGUGGCUUACCAAGGCUUUGAUGGGUAGACGGCGUGAGAGGGUGACCGGCCACACUGGAACUGGGACACGGUCCAGAGGCCUACGGGAGGCAGGAGGAGGGAAUCUUCCGCAAUGGGCGAAAGCAUGACGGAGCAACGCCGCGUGAGUGAUGAAGGUCUUCGGAUCGUAAAAAUCUGGUAGUAGGGAAGAAAAAAUGUGUAAGUAAAUAGGCACGUCUUGACGGUACCGAAUCAGAAAGACACGGCUAACUACGUG
rnacentral:rRNA from 1 species